UGGGCUUGACAUCCCACGAACCUGCCUGAAAGGGCGGGGUGCCCGCAAGGGAGCGUGGAGACAGGUGGUGCAUGGCUGUCGUCAGCUCGUGUCGUGAGAUGUUGGGUUAAGUCCCGCAACGAGCGCAACCCUCACCCCUUGUUGCCAUCAGGUCAGGCUGGGCACUCUAGGGGAACUGCCCCGGUCAACGGGGAGGAAGGUGGGGACGACGUCAAGUCAUCAUGCCCCUUACGUCCUGGGCUACACACGUGCUACAAUGGCCGGCACAAAGGGAUGCAAGACCGCGAGGUGGAGCUAAUCCCAAAAAGCUGGUCUAAGUUCAGAUUGCAGUCUGCAACUCGACUGCAUGAAGGAGGAAUCGCUAGUAAUCGCGCAUCAGCACGGCGCGGUGAAUACGUUCCCGGGCCUUGUACACACCGCCCGUCACACCACGAAAGCUGGCUGUACUCGAAGUCGCUGAG
rnacentral:rRNA from 1 species